GACGUAGGGCGCGAGCGUUGUCCGGAUUUAUUGGGCGUAAAGAGCUCGUAGGCGGCUUGUCGCGUCGACUGUGAAAAACCACGACUCAACCGUGGGACUGCAGUCGAUACGGGCAGGCUAGAGUUCGGUAGGGGAGACUGGAAUUCCUGGUGUAGCGGUGAAAUGCGCAGAUAUCAGGAGGAACACCGGUGGCGAAGGCGGGUCUCUGGGCCGAUACUGACGCUGAGGAGCGAAAGCGUGGGGAGCGAACAGG
rnacentral:rRNA from 1 species